rnacentral:rRNA from 1 species
UCGUGAUGUAGGUCGCCGCGACCCGUUGCUGGGGACGUCGAAGGCCCGGGCGGAUUGGUACCCCGACGUCGCGCUCGCGCGGCGAAGGGGGAAACCUCCGGUGUCCUGGCUGCCCUGCGACGGUCGUGUAGCAGAGAGGCGCAUCCACGCCUAUCUCUCGCGGCGUGCAAAAGGUCGGUGACCCACCCGACCCGUCUUGAAACACGGACCAAGGAGUCUAACAUGUGUGCGAGUCAUUGGGCGCACUAAACCCAAAGGCGCAAUGAAAGUGAAAGGGGGGUGUCCUUGCGGCACCCUCCGGGGCCGAUCCCUGGCCAAUGCCGAUGCCGCCGCGGUCAUUCCAUUCCAAAGCGGGGCCCUUAAGGCGGUGCGCGGGGUGAGACCCUUUCCCCCGUUCUAGUACCGCUGGCCUCGUGGGUGCCGUGGCGCGCUCGGUGGCCCUCAAGCCUGUACGCAGGGGGGCGCAGGCCCGGGACUUGCCAUUCGACGCCCGCGUGCGAAUCUGUUGUUGGUCUCAUCGGCUUUGCUUGGGCUCUCGGUUGGCGGGCCGCGUGUCUUUGGGCGGGCUUUGGGCAGGGGGGCUUCGGCUCUUCUCCCGGGCUCGUCCGGCGCGGUUUUCGCCCUCCGAUCCUGCUCUGUCCGGAGUGGCCUAGCGCACGGGCUGUCGGCAAGUACCAUGAGCAGACAUGUUGGGACCCGAAAGAUGGUGAACUAUGCCUGGCCAGGAUGAAGCCAGAGGAAACUCUGGUGGAGGUCCGCAGCAAUUCUGACGUGCAAAUCGAUUGUCAGAGCUGGGUAUAGGGGCGAAAGACUAAUCGAAC